UGAAAUCGCUGGUGUGGAACCGGAGAGAGUUAACGUAGUCCGGUGGCUAAGCUUUACGUCAGUCGUCUUUGAUGGCUUCGUGGAGUGUAUGCCGCCUAUGGCUGCGUCGGCGGCGUUGUUGGAGUCUGCUGAUACGUGUAGUGUUGCCCACAUCUGUGGUGUCUUGCUUGCGGAUAGGCCGAUCUUCGAUAGCGUUUAGUCUUUGCUAUGCAAAGCGCCGGCGUGAAAGUUAACCACCUCUCCGACCCGUCUUGAAACACGGACCGAGGAGUGUAGCUUAUACGUGAGUCACUGAGUGUAAAAACUCAACGGCGCAAUGAAAGUAAAGGUUGAUUAAUCAACUGACAUAGGAUCCGUUCCUUGUGAGCGGCGCACUAUGGCCCUGUCUCGGUUGCUUGCAAUUGGGCAGAGGAAGAACGUAUAGGCUGCGACCCGAAAGAUGGUGAACUAUGCCUGAGCAGGACGAAGCCAGAGGAAACUCUGGUGGAAGUCCGUAUCGGUUCUGACGUGCAAAUCGAUCGAUAGACUUGGGUAUAGGGGCGAAAGACUAAUCGAACCAUCUAGACG
rnacentral:rRNA from 1 species